UACGAAGGGGGCUAGCGUUGCUCGGAAUUACUGGGCGUAAAGGGAGCGUAGGCGGUUGUGUACGUCGGGUGUGAAAGCCCCCCGCUCAACGGGGGAGGGUCAUUCGAAACGGCGCAACUGGAGGCAGGGAGAGGUCGGUGGAAUUCCCGGUGUAGUGGUGAAAUGCGUAGAUAUCGGGAGGAACACCAGUGGCGAAGGCGGCCGACUGGACCUGUACUGACGCUGAGGCGCGAAGGCGUGGGGAGCGAACGGG
rnacentral:rRNA from 1 species